GGAAGCGGCCGUCGGACCAGCGGCUGGCCGAGCUGCUGACUCGGGUGGCGCUGGAGGCGACGGGCCACGCCGUGCCCGUGGGCGCCGGCCUGGUGGACCCCAGGGCUGUUGGUCGCAAACGUUCUGAUUGGGAUGACACCUGGCGACCGCAAGGCGAAGCAGACGUGCCGCUGGCUCUGUACGGUGGAACCCAAGGAGUGUGGCCGGCGCAGCAGUAACUGCAAGAGGAGCCGAGACACUGGACGCACAAAACGGUAUACUACGACAAAGAAUGCCCAAAAUGUUCCCAGCGAAAUGAUCAGCCGAUCAUAGAGAUUCCAGCUCCACCACUUC